AUUAAAGAUUUUGGCGGUAUUUUAGUCCAUUCAGAGGAACCUGUCCUGUAAUUGAUAAUCCACGAUUUAAUUUACUUGUUUUUUUAGUUUGUAUAUCGUCGUGGGUUGAAUAUUUUAUAAGAAUUAUAAUGUUCAAUAAAUAUAAAUUUAUUUUAUGUCAGAUCAAGGUGCAGCUUAUGAAUAAGAAGAGAUGGGUUACAAUAAAACUAUUUUUGGUUUAUUAGCUUUAAUGUUUUUAAUAAAUUGGAUUUGAAUGUAAUAUUUUUUAAUUUAUAGAUGUGAUUUUGGCUCUAAAAUAUGCACAUAUUGCCCGUCGCUCUCAUUUAAUAUGAGAUAAGUCGUAACAAAGUAGAUGUACUGGAAAGUGUAUCUAGAAAGAU
rnacentral:rRNA from 1 species